UGUGUGUGUGUGUGUGUGUUUUAUAUGUGUGUUUUGUGUGUGUGUGUGUGUGUGUGGUGUGUGUAUGUACACCACCACACACACAACACACACACACACACACACACACACACACACAUAUAUAUAAUUAAUAAUAUAUAUAUAAUUAUAUAUAUAUAUAUACAUACAUAUACAUACUAUUACACAUAU